CAUCAGCAAUUUUCAAACACAUCCCUUAUUUGCCAGGCUGUUCCCCCACCCAACAGGCCCAGCAUGGCCUGUUCCAGAACAAUGGCAGGAUACAGGGCUAUGCUUACGUGCGGGCCUUUGAGUCCGGUUAUAUGGGGCCAGGCAGAAUAGAGUUUGUCUGGGGUACACGGUGGGCCAGCAGCCUCAGCAUCGAAUGCAGGGAUCUCUGGUGUAGCCUGGGAAUUUCCAGCUGCUUUGCCAGGGAAGCCCAAAAGCCUGCCACCUCUCUGAGAGCAGGACUGACAUGAGGCCCAGGGGCAACUUGGAACACGGGUGAAGAACCUGCCAGCAGAGAACAGCAAACAAGAGGCGAUGGCUGUGUGUUCUUCCACACGGUACAUAUCCAAAACUGGACCCGGGGGCAAAAAAACAAAAGAGAGAAUUUUUUUUUUUGCAGACCUGUCACACUCUGAUCACCCUCCUAAAUGACACUAAUGACUUACAUUCCUCUUGAUAAGUAGAUAAUCCCCACAUUACAGAUGAGAAAACUGAGUCUCAGGAAGGUAAA
rnacentral:lncRNA from 1 species